CUGUUCUGUUGCCCUCACAGCUGUAGCCACUUUCUCCUCCGUAGCAGGGUGCUACUGCUGUCUGGUUGUUGCGUGGAACGUGCUGUCUCAUACCCUUCUCUGAAAGCUGCAGAGUAAAGUGCACUGGGUCUGAUCUGCGGCCCAGGGAGGGAGAGAGAGAGCAGCUCCUCAUUUAGCUGCUCCUGUGCGUACUCCACCCUAAGCUGCGCCAAACAGCUUUUGGAUCAAAUUGGCAAUCAUUUAUUCAGGGAGCUCUCAUCUGGAGCUCAGUCCAGGCUCAAAACCACAUGUUUAAAUCACUGCAAAGUGGUGAAGUCCAAGUUCUGUUGUUUACAGAAAGAUGAGAGAUUAAAUGACCCUUUACAAAUCGCUGCCCAGUGUUGAACAAUCCAUUUGCUUCUGUGUAGUUUUUGAGGGCUUAGAAUGAAUUCUGUUUUUCUAUAAGUAUCUUUGGUGUGACCUGGGAGUCUGUGCUGAAGACUGAGAUACUGUAGGUCUGGGUAGACUUUUAGUGCUUAAGAUAUUUGUACAUAGCAGAAUAAUGCAGCUGUGCUUUUUAUUCCAUUUGAUCCGAUCAUCAUCUGAUUCACCUUGAGCUUUUAUCGUCUGAUUACUCCCUUGAAAGUGCGUUGUGUGUUAAAGCAACUCAUUGUUAUUCUAUAGUUACACUCAUCACCACAUUCUAGCUGAUGGGGAUUUUAUUUUGUUUCAAACGCUGUGUGACGAAUACCAAUAACCUCCCUUGAUCUGCUUCAUCCACAGAGGCAUCUGCCUAUGCGGUUUUCUUUCCAUGUCCAUGUGCACAAAACAAAAACAUUACUGCACUCCCGUAACUACCCAGCCGGUUAUGUGGAUCAGGCCAAGAAGUCUCUGUGAACCAGCUGUUCCAGAUGUUGCCAGCACUGCAUUUUGCAUGUGUGGCUCUGGAAUCCCCGAGUUGCUGCUUUGGACGGUAUUGAUCUGAAGAUGGUGAGGGGUGGAAAUCAGACCAAGCCUCUUUGUGGAUCCAUUUGCUAAGGAAACUGCGUAGAAAGACCCAAAACCAUUCAGAAAUUGAAUUUCAAGUCUCAGCUCUAUAUUGGGGCAGGCUGAUCAGUGAGAAGAGUAGAAUUCUGGCAGAGAUUGAUCGCUGUCAGAAGGAACAUGGUUAGGGGAAGAGGAUUAUGUCAGGCAUUUAUUUGCAGGUCAUGAUAACGUGGUUGGUUCAGGCCUCCAUUUUACUUUGGAAAGGCAAAGACUCCUGUGGUUUGCUGGCUCCGCUGCAUGGUUAUCUCCACAUGAAUUUUAUGCUGCAGAUUGUGCCAACAGAAGCAGUGCCAGAUUAGAACAGCCAAAUGGAGAUACAGGAGGCUGCAGAAGCCUGAAAGCUAGAGCAGAAAAACAACACACUGGAGAAAUUCAGUGUGUCAGGCAACAUCUGUGUGGGGAAAAUGGGCAGUCAACACUUUGGGUUGAGACACUUCAGUGAGACUGAAAUCUGGUCCAGAGGAAGGGUCUCGACCCAAAACGUCGACUGUAUAUUUCCAACCACAGAAACUCUCUAACCCAUUGAAUUCUUCCUCAAUCAUUUUAUUUGUUAAAACAGGUCACAUGGCUUGUAAUACCAUUCAAAUUUCAAAAUAAAUUUGUUACCAAGUUUUGAAUUUUCCCAGGCAUUGUCAUCUAUACACAGAGGCAAUAAUCCUCUUUCCAAAAUUAUUCAGAUUUCUAGUAUCACAAUAUCAGAUUCAGUUCAUUGUCAACCGCUCAGAAUCAUAGCCUUGGGAGUGGAACUGGUAGACAAUUACAUGUUUAAAGAAUUACAUUAGUUUCAUUAGUAUCUGUAGCAGAUAUACAGAAAUGGACCAGGAGAUCAGAG